AUUGAACGCUGGCGGCAUGCCUAACACAUGCAAGUCGAACGAGUGGCGCACGGGUGAGUUACGUCUGGGCAACUGCCUGAUGGAGGGGGAUCACUACUGGAAACGGUCGCUAAUCGCGCAUACUAUCGGCUGCCCCCAGAUGUGAUUAGCUAGUGGGUGGGGUAAAGGCUCACCUAGGCGACGCUCCCUAGCUGGUCUGAGAGGAUGACCAGCCACACUGGAACUGAGACACGGUCCAGACUCCUACGGGAGGCAGCAGUGGGGAAUAUUGCACAAUGGGCGCAAGCCUGAUACAGCCAUGCCGCGUGUAUGAAGAAGGCCUUCGGGUUGUAAAGUACUUUCAGCGGGGAGGCGUUACCCGCAGAAGAAGCACCGGCUAACUCCGUGCCAGCAGCCGCGGUAAUAC
rnacentral:rRNA from 1 species